GACAAGGAGACCCCCCCAGGCAGAGGGACCCACCAGCCCACACAGGAGGAAGAAGAGGAGCUUUUGCAGGAGUGGAAUAGCGCCAGGCUACGGGACUUGACUGCUUGCCCCCACCUCAAAGGACCAUGGCCAGGGCUACUGCAGUCAGAGAUGUCACUCACAGCUACAUGGCAGGAAUUCCCACUUGGCCUGAGGAAAGAUGUUCCAGCAACCAACGAUUUUGUCCAGAUGCCCCACUUCUUCAAACAUGAAUGGACAACCAAGAAACACCGACACUUAGGAAUUCCAGUGCACUGAGAGAGAUACGCCAGAUCAACAAACAGAAGAACCAACUCAGGAGGGUUCUGCUUCCUGCUUCUGGAACGAUGAAUACAAAAGGCAAG